rnacentral:rRNA from 1 species
UACAGAGGUCUCAAGCGUUGUUCGGAUUCAUUGGGCGUAAAGGGUGCGUAGGCGGCGCGGUAAGUCGGGUGUGAAAUCUCGGAGCUUAACUCCGAAACUGCAUUCGAUACUGCCGUGCUUGAGGACUGGAGAGGAGACUGGAAUUUACGGUGUAGCGGUGAAAUGCGUAGAUACCGUAAGGAAGACCAGUGGCGAAGGCGGGUCUCUGGACAGUUCCUGACGCUGAGGCACGAAGGUCAGGGGAGCAAACGGG